rnacentral:lncRNA from 1 species
GCCCCCGAUGCCGCAGGAGCCCUUCAUGGAGCUGGAGGAGGUGAACUGGCGGCUGCAGGUGCUCAUGGUGCCGAGGAGGGAGACAGGCCCCAACAGCCCCUGCUGGAGGCUCCACUGCUCUUCCUGGGAUCAACUGUUCCUAGAAGAGAAGCAGGACCUCUCUCACCCCACCCCCAACCUUGACUGUCACCAAAGAAGAAGCCAGAGAGGGGAGCCCCCCACUACUGUGGCCUAGGAGCUUGGAAGACAAUACUGAGACAGACACCUGUGCUGUGGGCUCCCCAAAUCUGCCAGCAAAGGACUCUCGAGGAUUCAAGGACUCAGUGACCAAGGAGCUGCAAACAGCCCGGCCAAGCAGGGAGCAGACUUAGAGGACACCACACUCCCGUCCCCUCCCUG